AUUCCAAUCGAACCCGGAGAUAGCUGGUUCUCCCCGAAAUAGCUUUAGGGCUAGCGUCGAGGUAAAGAGUUGCGUGAAGGUAGAGCACUGAAUAUGUGAUGGCCCCAUCUCGGGGUACUGAGCAUAAUCAAACUGCGAAUGUCACGGAAACAUACUCGGCAGUCAGACAGCGGGUGAUAAGGUCCGUUGUCAAGAGGGAAACAGCCCAGACCAUCAGCUAAGGUCCCAAAAUGUAUGCUAAGUGGAAAAGGAUGUGGAGAUGUACAGACAACUAGGAGGUUGGCUCAGAAGCAGCCAUCCUUUAAAGAGUGCGUAACAGCUCACUAGUCGAAUGACUCUGCGCCGAUAAUUUACCGGGGCUAAGCAUACUACCGAAGCUAUGGAUCCUGAGGGAUGGUAGGGGAGCGUUCCAUGAACGGAGAAGCGCGAUCGAGAGGACGCGUGGAGAUCAUGGAAGAGAGAAUGCCGGUGUGAGUAGCGGAACGUGGGUGAGAAUCCCACGCACCGAAAACCCAAGGUUUCCAGAGGAAGGUUCGUCCGCUCUGGGUAAGUCGGGACCUAAGGCGAGGCCGAGAGGCGUAGUCGAUGGACAACAGGUAGAGAUUCCUGUACUCAUAUAUAUGUGAAGGAAUGACGGAGAGAGGAAGCUGCAGCCAGCGGCUGGAAGAGCUGGUGCAAGCGAGAUAUCGGGAUGGCAGGCAAAUCCACCAUCCGAAACGAGAAGGCGUGAAGCGUACGGAAAGCUAAGGCGAGUACGGAAGGCAGUGGAGGAGCUUCCAAGAAAAGUUUCUAACGAAAGUAUAUGUGACCCGUACCGAAAAUGGACACACAUGGGUGAGGAGAGAAUCCUAAGGUGAGCGAGAGAACUAUAGCUAAGGAACUCUGCAAAAUGACUCCGUAACUUAGGGAGAAGGAGUGCUCAUAGAGAUAUGAGCCGCAGUGAAACGGCCCAAGCGACUGUUUACCAAAAACACAGCUCUCUGCUAAGCCGCAAGGCGAAGUAUAGGGGGUGACGCCUGCCCGGUGCUGGAAGGUUAAGGGGAGGGGUUAACGCAAGUGAAGCCCUGAACUGAAGCCCCAGUAAACGGCGGCCGUAACUAUAACGGUCCUAAGGUAGCGAAAUUCCUUGUCAGGUAAGUUCUGACCCGCACGAAAGGCGUAACGAUUUGGGCGCUGUCUCAGCUGUAGACUCGGUGAAGUCUUAGUACCUGUGAAGAUGCAGGUUACCCGCGACUAGACGGAAAGACCCCAUGGAGCUUCACUGCAGGUUGAUAUUGGGAUUUGAUGCAGCAUGUACAGGAUAGGUAGGAGGCAAAGAGAUGGAUACGCCAGUAUUCAAGGAGCCGCUGUUGGGAUACUACCCCUGUUGUAUUGGAUUUCUAACCGGACGACGUAAAGCCGUUGACGGGACAGUGUCAGUCGGGCAGUUUGACUGGGGCGGUCGCCUCCCAAAGAGUAACGGAGGCGCCCAAAGAUACCCUCAGCUUGGAUGGAAACCAAGCGCAGAGUGCAAAGGCAAAAGGGUGUUUGACUGCGAGACCCACAAGUCGAGCAGGGACGAAAGUCGGGCUUAGUGAUCCGGCGGUGCUGAAUGGAAAGGCCGUCGCUCAACGGAUAAAAGCUACCCUGGGGAUAACAGGCUGAUCUCCCCCAA
rnacentral:rRNA from 1 species